GUAGCGCGAAUGUGGUGAGAAUCCACAUGGCCGGAAACCUCAGGUUUUUGGAGGAAGGUUCGUCCGCUCCAAGUUAGGCGGGAGCUAAGGUCAGGCCGAAAGGCGUAGCCGAUGCACAGACGGUAGAGAUUCCGUCCCCACCGAAAGAUUUAAGCACAGGGACACUUUUUGAAGGUCGGAGCCAGGUGUUGGUUCUGGUAGUGAUCGAGGGAAAUAUAGUACCGAAGUCCGGCUGGAAGAGAGGCGAGAAAAGCUGUGUGUAUAUCUAAGGUGCCCGUACCGCAAACCGACACAGGUAGGUAGGAAGAAGAUUCUAAGGCCAACGGGAGAAGGGUUGUUAAGGAACUCGGCAAGUUGACCCCGUAACUUCGGAAUAAGGGGUGCUCACGAGAGUGAGCCGCAGAGAAUAGGCCCAGGCAACUGUUUUACCAAAAACACAGGUUUGUGCUAAAUCGAAAGAUGACGUAUACGAGCUGACGCCUGCCCGGUGCUGGAAGGUUAAAAGGAGAUGUGCAAGCAUUGAAUUGAAGCCCCAGUGAACGGCGGCCGUAACUAUAACGGUCCUAAGGUAGCGAAAUUCCUUGUCAGGUAAGUUCUGACCCGCAUGAAAGGCGUAAUGAUCUGGGCACUGUCUCAACAGCCCGCCCGGCGAAAUUGUAGUACCGGUGAAGAUGCCGGUUACCCGCGACAAGACGGAAAGACCCCAUGGAGCUUUACUGUAGCCUGAUAUUGGGUUUCGGUGUUGCAUGCACAGGAUAGAUGGGACACUGGGAAGGCAGUGCUUUGGCAUUGCUGGAGUGGACGUUGGGAUACCAUCCUUGCGACAUUGGAAUUCUAACCUGCGCCUCUGAAGCGAGGCGGGGGACAUUGUCAGGUGGGCAGUUUGACUGGGGCGGUCGCCUCCUAAAAAGUAGCGGAUUCGUUCAAAGGUUCGUUCGAUCUGGACGGAAACCAGAUGAUUGAGUGCAAACGCAUAAACGAGCCUGACUGCGAGACUGACGGGUCGAGCAGAGACGAAAGUCGGAGUUAGUGAUCCGGUGGUAUGUGAGUGGAAAUGCCAUCGCUCAACGGAUAAAAGUUACCCUGGGAUAACAGGCUGAUCUCCCCCAAGAGUCCACAUCGACGGGGAGGUUUGGCACCUCGAUGUCGGCUCAUCGCAUCCUGGGGCUGAAUUCGGUCCCAAGGGUUUGGCUGUUCGCCAAUUAAAGCGGUACGCGAGCUGGGUUCAGAACGUCGUGAGACAGUUCGGUCCCUAUCUGUCGUGGGCGCAGGAUAUUUGAAAGGCGCUGUCCCUAGUACGAGAGGACCGGGAUGGACGAACCUCUGGUGCACCAGUUGUCACGCCAGUGGCACAGCUGGGCAGCUAUGUUCGGAUCGGAUAAACGCUGAAAGCAUCUAAGCGUGAAGCCGGCCUUAAGAUAAGAUAUCCCACUGAGUCAAUCAGGUAAGACCCCUUGAAGACUACAAGGUUGAUAGGCACACAGUGUAAGCGGAGUGAUCCGUUCAGCUAGCGUGUACUAAUAGGUCGAGGGCUUGACCG
rnacentral:rRNA from 1 species